rnacentral:rRNA from 1 species
GGAUUGCGANGGGCGAAGCCUGACGCAGCAACGCCGCGUGGGGGAUGAAGCUUCUCGGAGUGUAAACCCCUUUCGACCCGGACGAAUGCCCGCAAGGGUUUGACGGUACGGGUAUAAGAAGCCCCGGCUAACUACGUGCCAGCAGCCGCGGUAAAACGUAGGGGGCCAGCGUUGCUCGGAAUUACUGGGCGUAAAGGGUCCGUAGGCGGUGUGGCAAGUCGGAAGUGAAAUCUCUGGGCUUAACCCAGAGGCUGCUCCCGAAACUGCCGUGCUAGAGGAUGAGAGAGGCAAGUGGAAUUGCGGGUGUAGCGGUGAAAUGCGUAGAUAUCCGCAGGAACAUCCGAGGCGAAAGCGGCUCGCUGGAUCAUUUCUGACGCUGAGGGACGAAAGCUAGGGGAGCAAACAGGAUUAGAUACCCUGGUAGUCCUAGCCCUAAACCAUCAGGACUUGGGGUUUGCCCUGUACGGGGCAAGUCCCGUAGCUAACGCGUUAAGUCCUGCGCCUGGGGAGUACGGUCGCAAGGCUGAAACUCAAAAAAAUUGACGGA